GGAUAUGAGGGCGAUCUGGUUGCGACAUCUGUCACCCCACUGAUCACCAGGGUUGAUUCGGCUGAUCUGGCUGGCUAGGCAGGUGUCCCCUUCCUCCCUCACCGCUCCAUGUGCGUCCCUCCGGAAGCUGCGUGCUCAGUCGAAGAGGACGACCAUCCCCUAUAGAGGAGGACCGGUCUUCGGUCAAGGGUUUACGAGUAGCUGCACUCCCCUGCUAGAAAGCCUC
rnacentral:lncRNA from 1 species